rnacentral:lncRNA from 1 species
UCCUUUUGCUUUUCUUUUCGUUCCACAACUUUGAUUCGCCACCACAGCUGUCCAAUUGUCCAGCCUCCAACGGUGAUCCACACAGAGAAUGUGAUUGCAGCCUCUAGGGUUUUCUCUUGUGCUAGCAAGAAUAAUGAAAACCUUAUUGGACCUCAAACCCUAGUUAUGUAUUUAUAUAAACCCAAAUAGGCUCGGCCCGGUCCGGUCCAAUAAUUAAUUAAUCCAAUUAAUUAAACCCGGUCCGUGAAUUAAUUAAUCCAAUUAAUUAAUUCGAAAAUAUAAAUAACAAAUCCAAUUAAUUAAUUUAUCCAACGAUUGUUAAAUUAACUAAUUUGCAAUUUGCAAUCUUCCAAUUCUCUUUUGUGUGUGACCCAUUAGGUUCCCGACCACGAUGCCUAACGACGUGAAAUAUUAUUUUGAUCUAAUCAAAAUUGAUAAAUUAAAACACCCUUUUAAUUUAUCGUCAAUUCACAUUCGCCGUCCCUGAUUGACAUCUAGCAAUGUGUCAGGGCAAUACAUGUGACGAGAAAUGUCACGUGGUAUGACAAAACCAAAUUCGUUCGUUUACCGUGAAACUAUAAUCCUUUCGUCAAUAUGAUCCGAUCAAUUACGAGAUAUGGAGCUGUGUCAAUCUCGAUCAUCGAUCAUAUCUUUCACUCCACUAUUAAGUCAAUAUAAGUCGAAAACUCCUUUUCGUCUUAUGAGUACACAUUGGCCAAGGAUUUCAUCAUCGACUUAAUUGAAUGAAACGUAGAUCAUAAUCUCCUACUAUCUAAGAGUGACGAAUCCUUUAUUGAUCAAUCACAACCUUCAUACGAUUCUUGACGUACCCGAACGAUAUCGUAUUAGCGGCCCUUUUCAGAGCAACAUCCAACACCGCCAAAGUAUGACUGUCCUCAUAUAAGGUACCAUGACGACCUCAAGUCAAAGGACCAAUUUCACUACCGAACGUUAGAGAUUAACCAC